UACGUAGGGUGCGAGCGUUAAUCGGAAUUACUGGGCGUAAAGCGUGCGCAGGCGGUGAUGUAAGUCAGUUGUGAAAUCCCCGGGCUUAACCUGGGAACUGCAUCUGUGACUGCAUCGCUGGAGUGCGGCAGAGGGGGAUGGAAUUCCGCGUGUAGCAGUGAAAUGCGUAGAUAUGCGGAGGAACACCGAUGGCGAAGGCAAUCCCCUGGGCCUGCACUGACGCUCAGGCACGAAAGCGUGGGGAGCAAACAGG
rnacentral:rRNA from 1 species